AACGAACGCUGGCGGCAUGCCUAACACAUGCAAGUCGAACGAGACCUUCGGGUCUAGUGGCGCACGGGUGCGUAACGCGUGGGAACCUGCCCUUAGGUUCGGAAUAACUCCCCGAAAGGGGUGCUAAUACCGGCUAAUGUCUUCGGACCAAAGAUUUAUCGCCUUUGGAUGGGCCCGCGUUGGAUUAGCUAGUUGGUAGGGUAAAAGCCUACCAAGGCUACGAUCCAUAGCUGGUCUGAGAGGAUGAGCAGCCACACUGGGACUGAGACACGGCCCAGACUACUACGGGAGGCAGCAGUGGGGAAUAUUGGACAAUGGGCGAAAGCCUGAUCCAGCAAUGCCGCGUGAGUGAUGAAGGCCGUAGGGUUGUAAAGCUCUUUUACCCGGGAUGAUAAUGACAGUACCGGGAGAAUAAGCUCCGGCUAACUCCGUG
rnacentral:rRNA from 1 species